GGUGGCUCAGUGGUAGAGCACUUGCCUUGCAUGCAUAAGGCCCUGGGUUCGAUUCCCAGCACCA
rnacentral:tRNA from 1 species